AUCGCUUCUAGGCCUUUUGGCUAAGAUCAAGUGUAAAAACAAUAUUAAACAGGUACUGAUUUUAGCAUGAAAGUUUUCAGGUUUUGACCAUUUAGUAUGAUGUUGGUUGUUGGUUUUUCAUUGAUAGCCUUAAUCAAGUUGAG
rnacentral:snRNA from 1 species